rnacentral:rRNA from 1 species
GACGAACGCUGGCGGCGUGCUUAACACAUGCAAGUCGAGCGGUAAGGCCUUUCGGGGUACACGAGCGGCGAACGGGUGAGUAACACGUGGGUGAUCUGCCCUGCACUUCGGGAUAAGCCUGGGAAACUGGGUCUAAUACCGGAUAUGACCUCCUAUCGCAUGGUGGGUGGUGGAAAGAUUUAUCGGUGCAGGAUGGGCCCGCGGCCUAUCAGCUUGUUGGUGGGGUAAUGGCCUACCAAGGCGACGACGGGUAGCCGACCUGAGAGGGUGACCGGCCACACUGGGACUGAGACACGGCCCAGACUCCUACGGGAGGCAGCAGUGGGGAAUAUUGCACAAUGGGCGAAAGCCUGAUGCAGCGACGCCGCGUGAGGGAUGACGGCCUUCGGGUUGUAAACCUCUGUCAGCAGGGACGAAGCGCAAGUGACGGUACCUGCAGAAGAAGCACCGGCUAACUACGUG